rnacentral:lncRNA from 1 species
CAUAUAUCAAGCUAUCAAUAAAUGUUUGCCAGAGAAGUCAAAUGGCCUUGGAACCAAGAACCUGCAGCUUUAAAUAAGGAAGCUGUGUAAUUUGAAAGUGAAGAUCUGCUUACUACUUCUACUAAAUCACCAAAAUACCACAGAAUAGUUUUAUGCAAAUAACCCUCAAAAGAAAGGAGAACGCCUCGAGUCUGGCUGUGGAUUAUCCACUUGUCAACCAGAACUCUUAGGUUCAGCAGGACACAACGCUCUCGUCAGCUGAGGAAGAUCUGUAACUCCAAAGAAAGCAGAAAGGAGGCAGCUGUAAAGACGAGAAAUCAGUGAAAUAGAAAACAGAUAAACGAUAGAAAAAAUAACAUAUACAAUAAAUUUUGAACGCAUAACAAAAUCGAUAAAGCCUACAUAAGCUGAUCAAGAAAAAAAAGAAAAAUUACCAAUAUUAGGAAUAAAUGUGUGAAUAUACUAGCGAGGCUACAGGUAUAAUGAGCAACUUUAUGUUAAUAAAUUCAACAACCAGAUGAAAUUCCUGAACAAUACAACUUACUAAAACAGAAGACACAAGAAGAAAUAGGAAAUUUUAUUAGCCCUGUAUCUAUUAAAUAAAUUGAAUUUGUUAUUGGAAUCUUUGCUCAAACACAACCUCAGUGUCAGAUGGGUUCACUGAGAAACUGUUAAACAUUUACCUAGGAAAAGACAUCAUCCUUACACAAAUGCUUUCAAAAACAUAAGAGGAAGAAGCACUUCGCUAUGUGUUUUAUGAGGCCAGUAUGAUCCCAAUACUAAAUCUGACAGAGACAUUUCAACGAAAGAAAAUUAAAACACUAGUCAUGUCAAACUGGCCACCGAGUUUAGUUUCCUUUCCACACUCCCAACAGCCAGACAAGCUUUCCUGAACUGGGGGGAGGAGAGGGAAGAGCAGGCUGGCUGACUAGUGGGUGAUAAUAUCAAACUUUUGAGCAACCCCCCACUGAAUGUGGAAGAUAAUGCAGUCCAAACUGAUUUUCCUCAGGUUCCUUCAAGAUCUAAACAGAAGCCAGGAGUGGGUAAAGCAAUGUAAGAAAUGUGACUUUGAAGCACCUGAUCUGCUAAACAAACAUUAUUGCCAAAUUCUCCGAGAAACCUAUGGUUUGUAGAACGGGUACUUAUAAGAGAGUUGUCUGAGAUUAUGCUAAGCCAGCAGGAGUUGAUUUCACUAGACAUCUGAACAAUCCCCAUAGCCGACAAUGAAAAUGAAUAAAAUAAUUGAGUGACGAUGAAAUCAGAACAGAGGAAAAACAUGGUAAAACUUCUAGACAUGAGCAAUCACAGAAAUAAACAACGGCAAUACUCAGAACUCCAACUCAGAGGAAGAAGGUAAAGAGUAAGAUGAAGACAUUUUAUCCUUAAACUUUGCAGAGAAUGAAAACAAAGAGCAGCGGAAAUCUUUAUUUGAAGUUUGAGUCUUAUAAAGCAUGAAGUCUGGAUUAACGUGAAACCGACAAAAUCUCCAAAGAUCUCUCUUCUCCUUAGGAUGUUCAAGCACUGCUGGAGUGCAGGAUACCUUCUGGCGAGGCAGUUCUGAGAAAGUGCUUCCAGACAACAGCAGCUGGCACAUCAGUCCUUUUGAAAACACAUCAGAAACAGGUGCUGGAGCCUGCUUCCAUGGGAAAGACACAGGGAAAUGAGAAACUCAUCUCUCCUCCUUUAUCACUGAUAACGAGGGGGACAUGCCGGGGGAAGAGUAAUCCCCAGUGUUGGUGAGGUUCACCGAUGAAUAUCAAGGCCAGGUAGAGGAAUACAGGCUUUCCACUUUCUGAAGCUGAUACAGAAAUUUUGGCUGUGAAAUUUCACAAUAUGAUAACGGAGGAGGGAGGGACAAACAAGGAGCCCUGAUGUGGUCUGGCUCAGAUUAUGUCUAGUGGACUUUCUCUCAAACGCAAGUCAUGGUAACUAGACUUUUAGAGAAAUAACCCCAAGAUAGCUACACAGUCUAUUCUUCCUCUGCCUUAAACACAAAGUUGUCAAAAGCAGUGUCUGUUGGGAGUUCCUGUAGUGGCUCAGUGGUUAACGAACCCAACUGGCAUCCAUGAGGAUGCGGAUUCAAUGCCUGGCCUCGCUCCGUGGGUUGAGGAUCUGGCGUUGCCAUGAGCUGUGAUUGUAGGUUGCCAAUGCAGCUCGGAUCUGGCGUUCCUGUGGCUGUGGUGUAGGCCAGCAGCUGUAGCUCCAAUUAGACCCCUAGCCUGGGAACCUCCAUAUGCCGUGGGUGCAGACUUAAAAAGACCAAAAAAAAAAAAAAAAAAAAAAAAAAAAA